GGCUGGUCCGAUGGUAGUGGGUUAUCAGAACUUAUUAACAUUAGUGUCACUAAAGUUGGUAUUCAACCCCCCACUGCUAAAUUUGACUGGAAAA
rnacentral:Y_RNA from 1 species